rnacentral:rRNA from 1 species
AAUAUUGCACAAUGGGCGGAAGCCUGAUGCAGCGACGCCGCGUGAGGGAUGAAGGCCUUCGGGUUGUAAACCUCUUUCAGCAGGGACGAAGCGUGAGUGACGGUACCUGCAGAAGAAGCACCGGCUAACUACGUGCCAGCAGCCGCGGUAAUACGUAGGGUGCGGGCGUUGUCCGGAAUUACUGGGCGUAAAGAGUUCGUAGGCGGUUUGGCGCGUCGUUUGUGAAAACCCGGGGCUCAACUUCGGGCUUGCAGGCGAUACGGGCAGACUUGAGUGUUACAGGGGAGACUGGAAUUCCUGGUGUAGCGGUGAAAUGCGCAGAUAUCAGGAGGAACACCGGUGGCGAAGGCGGGUCUCUGGGAAACAACUGACGCUGAGGAACGAAAGCGUGGGUAGCAAAC